rnacentral:rRNA from 1 species
ACUGAACGCUGGCGGCAUGCCUUACACAUGCAAGUCGAACGGUAACAGGUCUUCGGACGCUGACGAGUGGCGAACGGGUGAGUAAUACAUCGGAACGUGCCCAGUCGUGGGGGAUAACUACUCGAAAGAGUAGCUAAUACCGCAUACGAUCUGAGGAUGAAAGCGGGGGACCUUCGGGCCUCGCGCGAUUGGAGCGACCGAUGGCAGAGUAGGUAGUUGGUGGGAUAAAAGCUUACCAAGCCGACGAUCUGUAGCGGGUCUGAGAGGACGACCAGCCACACUGGGACUGAGACACGGCCCAGACUCCUACGGGAGGCAGCAGUGGGGAAUUUUGGACAAUGGGCGAAAGCCUGAUCCAGCAAUGCCGCGUGCAGGAUGAAGGCCUUCGGGUUGUAAACUGCUUUUGUACGGAACGAAAAAGCUCCUUCUAAUACAGGGGGCCCAUGGCGGUACCGUAAGAAUAAGCACCGGCUAACUACGUGCCAGCAGCCGCCGUAA